UACGGGGGUGCGAGCGUUGUCGGAAUCACUGGGCGUAAAGGCGCGUAGGCGGUUGGUAAGGCUGUGGUGAAAGCCGGGCUCAACCCCGGGUCUGCCGUGGCGACUGCUAGACUGGAGGGCUCGAGAGGCAGACGGAAUUCCGGGUGGUAGCGGUGGAAUGCGGUAGAGAUCCGGAAGAAGACCGGUGGCGAAGGCGGUCUGCUGGGCGAGUAC
rnacentral:rRNA from 1 species